rnacentral:rRNA from 1 species
AUACAUGCAAGUCGUACGCUUCUUUUUCCACCGGAGCUUGCUCCACCGGAAAAAGAAGAGUGGCGAACGGGUGAGUAACACGUGGGUAACCUGCCCAUCAGAAGGGGAUAACACUUGGAAACAGGUGCUAAUACCGUAUAACAAUCGAAACCGCAUGGUUUUGAUUUGAAAGGCGCUUUCGGGUGUCGCUGAUGGAUGGACCCGCGGUGCAUUAGCUAGUUGGUGAGGUAACGGCUCACCAAGGCCACGAUGCAUAGCCGACCUGAGAGGGUGAUCGGCCACAUUGGGACUGAGACACGGCCCAAACUCCUACGGGAGGCAGCAGUAGGGAAUCUUCGGCAAUGGACGAAAGUCUGACCGAGCAACGCCGCGUGAGUGAAGAAGGUUUUCGGAUCGUAAAACUCUGUUGUUAGAGAAGAACAAGGAUGAGAGUAACUGUUCAUCCCUUGACGGUAUCUAACCAGAAAGCCACGGCUAACUACGUGCCAGCAGCCGCGGUAAUACGUAGGUGGCAAGCGUUGUCCGGAUUUAUUGGGCGUAAAGCGAGCGCAGGCGGUUUCUUAAGUCUGAUGUGAAAGCCCCCGGCUCAACCGGGGAGGGUCAUUGGAAACUGGGAGACUUGAGUGCAGAAGAGGAGAGUGGAAUUCCAUGUGUAGCGGUGAAAUGCGUAGAUAUAUGGAGGAACACCAGUGGCGAAGGCGGCUCUCUGGUCUGUAACUGACGCUGAGGCUCGAAAGCGUGGGGAGCAAACAGGAUUAGAUACCCUGGUAGUCCACGCCGUAAACGAUGAGUGCUAAGUGUUGGAGGGUUUCCGCCCUUCAGUGCUGCAGCUAACGCAUUAAGCACUCCGCCUGGGGAGUACGACCGCAAGGUUGAAACUCAAAGGAAUUGACGGGGGCCCGCACAAGCGGUGGAGCAUGUGGUUU